AUUGAACGCUGGCGGCAUGCUUUACACAUGCAAGUCGAACGGUAACAGGGUGCUUGCACCGCUGACGAGUGGCGAACGGGUGAGUAAUGCGUCGGAACGUGCCGAGUAGUGGGGGAUAACCCAGCGAAAGUUGUGCUAAUACCGCAUACGUACUGAGGUAGAAAGUGGGGGACCUUCGGGCCUCACGCUAUUCGAGCGGCCGACGUCUGAUUAGCUAGUAGGUGAGGUAAAGGCUCACCUAGGCGACGAUCAGUAGCGGGUCUGAGAGGAUGAUCCGCCACACUGGGACUGAGACACGGCCCAGACUCCUACGGGAGGCAGCAGUGGGGAAUUUUGGACAAUGGGCGAAAGCCUGAUCCAGCCAUGCCGCGUGUCUGAAGAAGGCCUUCGGGUUGUAAAGGACUUUUGUCGGGGAGGAAAUCCCCAGCGUUAAUACCGCUGGGGGAUGACAGUACCUGAAGAAUAAGCACCGGCUAACUGCGUGCCAGCCGCCGCGGUAAUAC
rnacentral:rRNA from 1 species